GACGAACGCUGGCGGCGUGCCUAAUACAUGCAAGUCGAACGCAGUGGGGACGGGUGAGUAACACGUGGGUAACCUCCCAUCAGAGGGGAUAACACUUGGAAACAGGUGCUAAACCGAUACUGAUGGAUGGACCCGAGGUGCAUGAGCUAGUGGGUGAGGUAACGGCGCACCAAGGCCACGAUGCAUAGCGGACCGGAGUGGGUGUUCGGCCCGCCGGGGACUGAGAAAUGGCCCAGACUCCUACGUGAGGCAGCAGUAGGGAAUCGUCGGCAAUGGACGAAAGUCUGACCGAGCAACGCCGCGUGAGUGAAGAAGGUUUUCGGAUCGUAAAACUCUGUUGUUAGAGAAGCGGUAUCUAACCAGAAAGCCACGGCUAACUACGUGCCAGCAGCCGCGGUAAUUC
rnacentral:rRNA from 1 species